UACGAAGGGGGCGAGCGUUGUUCGGAAUUACUGGGCGUAAAGGGCGCGCAGGCGGCUCUGAAAAGUCAGAUGUGAAAGCCCCCGGGCUCAACCUGGGAAUUGCAUUUGAGACUGCAUAGCUAGGGGUGCGGAAGAGGGAAGCGGAAUUUCCGGUGGAGCGGUGAAAUGCGUAGAUAUCGCUUGGAACGCCGACGGUGAAAACAGGUUGCUGGGGGAUGUGCCGACGUGAGACACGAAAGCCAGGGGGAGCAAAACGGGG
rnacentral:rRNA from 1 species